UACGUAGGGUGCAAGCGUUAAUCGGAAUUACUGGGCGUAAAGCGUGCGCAGGCGGUGAUGUAAGACAGUUGUGAAAUCCCCGGGCUCAACCUGGGAACUGCAUCUGUGACUGCAUUGCUGGAGUGCGGCAGAGGGGGAUGGAAUUCCGCGUGUAGCAGUGAAAUGCGUAGAGAUCCGGAGGAACCCCAGAGGCGAAGGCGGCCCCCUGGCUCGUACCUGACGCUCAGCCACGAAAGCAUGGGGAGCGAACGGG
rnacentral:rRNA from 1 species